CUGCAGCCAAAUUAAGCCAACUGUCCUCCCUCCCUGUAGGGGCCAAUGUCCAAUGGCUGCAAACAGCAGCCUUCUCGGUGGUGUAUGCAGCCUGUUGCAUGUACGAGUUCUCUAAGGGACACUGGAGAGAGCC